UACGGAGGGAGCUAGCGUUGUUCGGAAUUACUGGGCGUAAAGCGUGCGCAGGCGGUUUGUUAAGUCUGCUGUGAAAUCCCCGAGCUCAACUUGGGAAUUGCAGUGGAUACUGGCAAGCUAGAGUAUGGUAGAGGAAGGUGGAAUUCCCGGUGUAGCAGUGAAAUGCGUAGAGAUCGGGAGGAACACCAGUGGCGAAGGCGGCCUUCUGGACCAAUACUGACGCUCAUGCACGAAAGCGUGGGGAGCAAACAGG
rnacentral:rRNA from 1 species